rnacentral:rRNA from 1 species
UGAAGUCGGAAUCGCUAGUAAUCGCGGGUCAGCAUACCGCGGUGAAUACGUUCCCGGGCCUUGUACACACCGCCCGUCACACCAUGAGAGUCGGGAACACCCGAAGUCCGUAGUCUAACCGCAAGGAGGGCGCGGCCGAAGGUGGGUCCGGUAAUUGGGGUGAAGUCGUAACAAGGUAUC